CCUACGGGAGGCAGCAGUGGGGAAUCUUGCGCAAUGGGCGAAAGCCUGACGCAGCAACGCCGCGUGCGGGAUGAAGGCCUUCGGGUUGUAAACCGCUUUUAACAGGAACGAAAAUGACGGUACCUGUAGAAUAAGGUGCGGCCAACUACGUGCCAGCAGCCGCGGUGACACGUAGGCACCAAGCGCUGUCCGGAUUUAUUGGGCGUAAAGAGCUCGUAGGCGGUUCGAUAAGUCGGGUGUGAAAACUCUGGGCUUAACCCAGAGACGCCACUCGAUACUAUUGUGACUAGAGUUCGGUAGGGGAGCGGGGAAUUCCUAGUGUAGCGGUGAAAUGCGCAGAUAUUAGGAGGAACACCGGUGGCGAAGGCGCCGCUCUGGGCCGAAACUGACGCUGAGGAGCGAAAGCGUGGGUAGCAAACAGGAUUAGAUACCCUGGUAGUCCACGCCGUAAACGGUGGGCACUAGGUGUGGGCUCCAACCAACGGAGUCCGCGCCGUCGCUAACGCAUUAAGUGCCCCGCCUGGGGAGUACGGCCGCAAGGUUAAACUUAAAUGAAUUGACGG
rnacentral:rRNA from 1 species